rnacentral:rRNA from 1 species
UACAGAGGUCUCAAGCGUGGUUCGGAUUCAUUGGGCGUAAAGGGUGCGUAGGCGGCGCGGUAAGUCGGGUGUGAAAUCUUGGAGCUUAACUCCGAAACUGCAUUCGAUACUGCCGUGCUUGAGGACUGGAGAGGAGACUGGAAUUUACGGUGUAGCGGUGAAAUGCGUAGAUAUCGUAAGGAAGACCAGUGGCGAAGGCGGGUCUCUGGACAGUUCCUGACGCUGAGGCACGAAGGUCAGGGGAGCAAACGGG